UUUUCUGCAAAAGAAUAAAGAUGGCUCUUUUUUUAGAUGCAAAAACGUGAUCUUUGUACAGCAAGAGAUUAGUUUAAAACAGCAAUAAAUUAUAUUUGGGGGUACACGUACUUGGCUUAUAAACUUGAAAUUAAAUGGGCAAGGCUAAAAAUAAGGACAUAUAAAUGUUGUAAAUGGAAAAUGAAGGCAAUCUCUCAGCCACUUGGAUCAUCUGAAUAUACUGAAAUCUUGUUAAAAAGAGAAUCCUUGAUUGCUUGAAUUUUUAAUGAUAUAAUUGAAAGACACAAGAUCUCAGUUUUCACUGAAUGUGGGAGGGGGGAUUUGUAGACUUAUAAAAAUGACAAUGAUUAGUUUCUGUUUGAGCACUCAGUUAUCAAUACAGGCCUAGUUAAAGCAGGAUAAAAUGAUGCAGAAAAAAUACAGCUGGCAGAAAUGAAUAAUAAUGCAAACUUGUUUGAUUUACAUCAUUUACAGAGUUUUUAAAAAUCUAUCCAGUUUUAUUUGUAUUUAUCACAUUUAUAAGAAGUCCUCAUCUUAUGACUGUAGUUGAGCCUGGAAUUACAAUCAUAAAUCUUGUGGUUGUAAAUUGAGGCAUCAUGUGACCAGACUUGAUUGUUAAGCUAAUACUGUAGUUGUUAAGCAAAUGCCGCAGUCAUAAAGCAAAUUAAUUUUCCCCCAAAAGGCUAUUUUUUUGCUGGAAAUCAGGCCAAAAAAGUUGCAAAUCACGGUCCUAUGAUAGCAGGACACACUGCAAAGAGCCAUAAAGAUGAGCUUGUUGCCAAGUGCUCAAAAUGUCAUUGUGUGAUUGUGGGGUAUGUGUUAUGUGGCCAUCAUAAUUUCAAAAAUGGAUCAUAAGCAGCUUUUGGGAGGGUCCAUCACAGCUUCAAAAUGUUGUUAAGUGACCGGCCUUAAGUUGAGCAUUACUGUAUAUAGCUGCCCAUCUCAAAAAACAUGAUUCUGAGCAGCAUACAAUAAAAACAGAAGACCAUAACAGACCGUUAGUUGGAAAAUAAACUUUCUAGCCACACACCUUUCUCCUUCAGUAAUAAGCAUAAAAUGCUUUCUUAAUGGGAGGGUUAACCACAGGUAGUCCUCAGUGACCAACAUCACUCAGAGGCUGUUCAAAUUUAAGACAGUGCUGAAAAUAGAGACAGGCACUCCUUAAAGCUAAAACCAAUGCAGGUUGAUCCUGUGGUCCUGAUUCAAGCACCUGGCAACCGGUAUGCAUUAUCACCACUUGUUACCUUCACAGCCAGCUUCUGACCAGAAAAGUCAAUGGGGAAGCCAGCAGGAAGUCGCAAGUCACAGUCAUGAGAUGUUCUGUUUAAUGACCACACUGUUUGCGAUUGGAAGCCAGCAAAAUAGGUUGAAAACAACCAUCGUGUGACUGCGGGACAAUGUGACCCUCUUGAAGUCUAGAAGGACUGGUUGGAAGUACUUGUUUAGCACCAUCCUAAGUUCAAACGGUCGCUGAACAAGUGGUUGUUAAGUGAAGACCACCUGUAUACCAUCUUUUUAAGGAAACAGCAGACAAGGGCACUAAUAGAACUUUUAAUGACUACUCUUGAGGUGCUAGAAAGCCUCUCCCCCCCACUAAUUCUCCCAUUAUAUUUGAUGUGAAAAGCCCCACCUGCUAAUUAAGAGAUCAACAUACUAGAUUCGCUGCAACUCAGCACCAGUUAAUUACAUCUCCAGUGCUUAA